rnacentral:rRNA from 1 species
UACGGAGGAUCCAAGCGUUAUCCGGAUUCAUUGGGUUUAAAGGGUGCGUAGGCGGAAUGGUAAGUCAGUGGUGAAAGCCCUUCGCUUAACGAAGGAACUGCCUCUGAUUCUGCCAAUCUUGAGUACAUUUGAUGUGGGCGGAAUGUGUCAUGUAGCGGUGAAAUGCUUAGAUAUGACACAGAACACCGAUUGCGAAGGCAGCUCACAAAACUGUAACUGACGCUGAGGCACGAAAGCGUGGGGAUCAAACAGG